AAUUAAUUGGAGAGUCAGUAGCAGUAUUAUUAUUAUAGCUACUGACUUUCUAAUUGAUUUA
rnacentral:pre_miRNA from 1 species